rnacentral:rRNA from 1 species
CCCUUAGAUGUUCUGGGCAGCACGCGCGCUACAAUGGUCUUCGCAAACGGAUGCAUUCUCGAAGGAGAAUGCCAAUCUUGGAAUCUAUGCCUUGGUCGGGACAGUUGCUUGCAAUUUUUCGACUCGAACCAGGAAUUCCUUGUAAUCGUGAUUCAUCACAUCACGAUGAAUACGUCCCUGCCCUUUGUACACACCGCCCGUCGCUCCUACCGAUUGAAUGCUCAGGUGAGCCAUUCGGACCUUCAUCAUGCCGGUUUCCGGUUUUGAUGAGGGAAAGUCUUGCGAACCUUAUCAUUUAGAGGAAGGAGAAGUCGUAACA